rnacentral:lncRNA from 1 species
CUUGAAGAUGGCUGUCCUGGAAAGUUCCCUGUUCUGGGCUGUGGUUUCUCCACGCUGCCCGAAGGGGGACAGAACCAAAGCCGGUGUGAGCUGACACCCCUGGAAGAUGGAGGGGCUGGGGCUGAGCCAGGCCUGCCCUGCCCACCGUGGGCAGCCAGGGUGAGCUGGACAUCUCGCAGGGGUCCGACACCCUCUGCAUGAGUACAUGAGGCAGCGAGGCAAAGAACCUCAAGGCGAGGGCUGGCUGGAAGCCCUGAACGUCGCAGCCCAGACCCAAGAGCCCCACGGCUGCAUCCCAGGCACAGGCCCAGGCUGAAGAGGAAAGACAAGAGCCGCCCUGCCCAGAAACGUCCACAUGUGGGUACUGCAUUCCUACCGGUGUGACAGGUCAGUGUGACAGGUCGGUGUGACAGGCACCGGUGUGACAGGUCGGUGUGACAGGCACCAGUGUGACAGGCACCAGUGUGACAGGUCGGUGUGACAGACACCGGUGACAAGUCAGUGUGACAGGCAGUGGUGUGACAGGCACCGGUGUGACAGGUCGGUGUGACAGGUACUGUUGUGACAGGUCGGUGUGAGACACUGGUGUGACAAGUCAGUGUGACAGGCAGUGGUGUGACAGGCACCGGUGUGACAGGUCAGUGUGACAGGUACUGUUGUGACAGGUCGGUGUGAGACACUGGUGUGACAAGUCAGUGUGACAGGCAGUGGUGUGACAGGUCGGUGUGACAGGCACCAGUGUGACAGGCCCCGGUGUGACAGGUAGGUCAUGCUGUGACAGGCCCCGGUGUGACAGGUCGGUGUGACAGACACCAGUGUGACAGGCCCCGGUGUGACAGGUAGGUCAUGCUGUGAUAGGCCCCGGUGUGACAGGUCGGUGUGACAGGCACCAGUGUGACAGGUAGGUCAUGCUGUGAUAGGCCCCGGUGUGACAGGUCGGUGUGACAGGC